rnacentral:rRNA from 1 species
UACGGGAGGCAGCAGUGGGGAAUAUUGCACAAUGGGCGAAAGCCUGAUGCAGCUAUGCCGCGUGUAUGAAGAAGGCCUUAGGGUUGUAAAGUACUUUCAUCGGGGAGGAAAAACAAAACUAAUAAUUUUAUUUCUUGACGUUACCCGAAAAAGAAGCACCGGCUAACUCCGUGCCAGCAGCCGCGGUAAUACGGAGGGUGCUAGCGUUAAUCAGAAUUACUGGGCGUAAAGAGCACGUAGGUGGUUUUUUUAAAGUCAGAUGUGAAAUCCCUGGGCUUAACCUAGGAACUGCAUUUUGAAACUGAAAUACUAGAGUAUCGUAGAGGGAGGUAGAAUUCUAGGUGUAGCGGUGAAAUGCGUAGAUAUCUGGAGGAUACCUGUGGCGAAAGCGGCCUCCUAAACGAAUACUGACACUGAGGUGCGAAAGCGUGGGGAGCAAACGAGGGAUUAGAUACC